GGGUCGUUAGCUCAACUGGCAGAGCAGCCGGCUGACUUAGCGCGUCCGCCUUCCGCGCAUGCGGGCAUGGAGGCGCUUCCUUCUCAUUGGCCCGGCAGGUUCGGGGUUCGAGUCCCCGGCGACCCACCA
rnacentral:tRNA from 1 species